GACAAACCAUACCAGUAGCCUGUUGAGAAACAAGGUAAGCUGAAGGUGAAAUCCUGUAUGCAAGAUUAAUCAUAAUGCUCAUAUGGCUUGAAACUUUCCACAUGCUUUCCUUGGUGCUACCUCAAAAUUUAACUUGGAUUUUGUUUGCUGUAGCCUCUAUUUUUUGGUACUUUGUGAUGUUGUCAUUCAUGGAACUGUUAAGAUGCUAUUAAAUUAGAAUGUGGAUCAUCUUGAAAAAAAUGAUUUUACUUUGGAAAAUCAUCAAGAAUCUUCUGUGGAUAUUCAAAAUAUGUUACUUGUACCAACAAAGGAAGUCCUGCUUCUUAAUUUAAAGACCAAGUAUCUUCACAGGUAAUGACUUGGUUUACAAGUUGACCGGAUCAGAAUACUUGGCAUAGUUCUUGAAGAAAAUGAGAUGAGUUGAUAGGACUGUUAGGUGGAGAGCCCAACCAAAAGAUUCCACAUCCAAGAAAAGACAAACUUUCAGCAACUAUGUAGAGCAGUAAGGUGGGCUGCCAGGAACUUUCUAUGACCUGAAAUUACCUACUUAUACAAGAAACACUGACUUUUAAUUUUUUUUAAUCCCAUACUUCUAAUAGGUUUACCUGCAUAAGUCCUUGAAUUGGUUGUUCAGGCGAUGUGACACUGAACAAAUUCUUCCAUGUGUUCUAGUAUUGAGCUUAGGGGUAUGUUCUGGAACUGAGGCAGACAGUUUUCCCUGCUCUGUGUUGACAAUGAGGUUUCAGGUUUAAUUCUUGUCUGCUCAUAUUGAUUGCUUCUUUUUUCUCUUCAAUUCAUUGAUGGAGAAUCCUGUCAGAACACAGUUAAACCUUGACUAGUUAAAAUUUUUAUUGCAGAUGGACUUUGGGUCAGUCUACUUUGCUCAGAUAUUUAAACUAGAAUAAAGUAGAGAACUGAAAAUAUAUAGUUAAAUGAGCUUGUUAUUAAAAUGGGGCAUUCCGAGAAUCGAACUCGGGACCUCUCGCACCCAAAGCGAGAAUCAUACCACUAGACCAAAUGCCCAGUUGCUGAUGUUUAUGUUGUUCAGUGUUUGAUCAAUGUGGCUGAUUAAAUCUAGGAAUUUAUCACUUCUGAUCUCCUGUAGCUACUGUUAAUUUAAGGUGAACCUCCUUCAUCUGAACAACCAUUUUUUCCUGGUGCCACCCCUGAGAUUUGUAUCUGAUAUUUUGAACCUGAACGGAUUUUAGUAUUAUAUGUUUACCUAAUUGACUCAUAAUGUUAUGAUGGCCUGGAUAUUGAGUUGCUUGGUUCCUGGAUAGCCAGGACUACAAUGAUUAGUGGCAUCCAAGUCUCUUGAGUCUUUGGCCAGUUUGCUUUGCUUCUUGGUUGCCCAGACAGUGGUGGAAAAAGAGAUUAAAUUUGAAACCUUACAUGAAUUGGAGGUUGUAUGACGUAAAAUAUUCCUUUUCUUCCUAAGAGAUCUUUGCAGCCACAGCAUAUUGUUAGCCUCUAAGAACAAGUUGAGAUAGAACAUCAAAUCCUAUUUGUUGUCACGGCAAGAUUAAUCAGCAUGCUUGUGUAUCUUGAUAAUUUCCUCCCGCAUUAGGUGGUGACCUAACCUCAAAAUCUUCAGUAAUUACUGAGGUUUUGUUUGCUUAGUUUCCACGCGGUUGUUAAUUUACUUACUUUACAAUGUUGUUGUGCACUGAAAGGUUAAGAUGCUAUUUUCAAGUAGAUAUAAAUCAGGAUGCAGUUCCAGUAUGAGAAGAGAAAUCAUUUUACACAAGCAGAAUCAUUGGAAACUUUUUUUUUUUUUUUUUUUUGGGUAUUAUGACAAGCAUGUUUUUUGAUCCAAGAAAAAGUCUGUUACUUCUUAAUAUACUGAUGGAGCAUCUCAUUGGUAACUCUUAGGUGUACAAGUUGACUAGAUCAGAAUGCUUGGUAGAGUACUUGGAAAAAUGAGCAGCAGACAAGAAAAUUGGGGGGAGAGCAUAAACACAAGGUUCCAUAUCCCAACAAAGGACUAAUCUAUUGGCAACCAUGUGGAGCUGGGCAGUUGGACUUCCGGAAAAUUCCCAUAACCUGAUCUCACCUACUUAGGUAAGAAUGAAUGGCACACCUGUUUUCCUACUUCACUUUGGUUCUGACAAACUUUUGCUGGUUUUAGUUGAUUGAUUACUUGAGCCUGUUCCUCAAAUGUGUGACUGCUUCCAAUUUUUUUCCAAUAUCAUGGCCAAGUUUGUGUGCUACAGCCAAUACAGCUGGUGCUUGUUUCUUAUUGAUUCAUUGAUAAAGAAUCUUGUCAGUGCAUAAUUAUAUCUGACCUAUGUAAAAGUUUCCUUGCUGUUUUUAAGUUGACUUUAGGUAAGAUAGCUCAAAUAUUUAAAACACAAUGAAACAGAAAACAGAACACAGUGAGGUCACUGAUCCCUGAUUAGUUUCUCUUGCUGGUUUUGAGUUGACUUUCAAUCAUAUUGCUGCAAUAUUUAAAACACAAUGAAAUAGAGUACUGAAUACAGGUCAAUGAUUCCUGAUAAGUACUAUAUUCAAACAUUUAAAACAGAAUGAAAUAGGCAAGUGAGAAAUAAAAAAAUAAAAAUCUGUACAGGCAAAUGACUUCCUGAAAAAAAAAAAUGUGGGGCAUUCCGAGAAUCGAACUCGGGACCUCUCGCACCCAAAGCGAGAAUCAUACCACUAGACCAAAUGCCCACUUGUUGAUGUUUAUGUUGUUUGGUUUCUACUUAAUGUGUUGAUGGAUUCCCUUUCCCCCAUCCUCCAUCAUGAUAGUAUCUCUACCAGGACAGUGCUGAGAUGAAAAUACAAAUUAUCUCAUUUUUUUAACUUGAAACAUCUGUUAAUAUUAUAUUGUCUAUCUCAUCAUUCAAACUUUGUGGUGGCCUUUUCAGAUAUGAAGCUGAGUAGGCUCUGGAUAGCAAAAACCAGAAUAAUAAAAUUGCAAUCUAGCCAAUUAAUGGCACUAAGGACUCUGAGCUCGUGGUCAUUUUCCAUUGCUUCUUGGUUACCCAAACCAUGGAUAAACAAAGAAAUUAAG
rnacentral:lncRNA from 1 species